CGCUCCCCAAUCCGGUCUGGCUCUCCGUCCCUCUUCCUUCAACAUCUGUCGCCACCCUCGUCCCAAGCUGUCCACUCCCGGCCCUUUCCGCGCUUGGACCUUUCCACCUGAACCCUGCCCCCACUAACUCGGGACAGCAGGGAAGGGGGGGUGUGCCCUCCGCGAGCCUGAAGCAACGUGGGGGCCUUCGCCCUUGGCCUCCGACCCAGGGGGUCGUGGGGGCUCCAUGGCUCCAGACGCAUCCUGCCCGCUGCGCUGCCGCGAGUCGCGCCCCCAUUGUCUGCACAGAGCCGCGGGCCAGCGAGCCAGCGGGGCUGGGCGGGUUUGGACCAGGGCGGUGAGAUCCAGGGGCGGGGUCCCCGCGGUUCCCUCAGGGCCGCUCUGGCAGCUCCGGGAAGGUCCUCCACUGCACCCCGGGCUGCCCAGGGCUGGCGACUGGUCGCAGCUAGGGCAGGAGGAGCAGGACUGUCCUGGAGCCUGGCCAAGGCCCGGCCGAGGGCUGGCUUGCGAGAAGAGGCCAGAUUCGGUCUGGGAGGUGGACGGCCCUGGGGGAGGGGCCUGGCCUGCAGUGGUGCCGGUGUGCGGACGCCUGUGUCCUUGGGGCAGGCUGCUGGGGUCCACAGGGUCUGGACAGAGCAGAGCCUGGUGGUAGCCCGCCCGGUGGAGGUCUGCUGUAUGUGGCUCUGCGGGGCCAAGGGCACCUUGCUGCAGGCGAAGUCUCCUGGGGAUGGGGCCAGAGCUCGGCUGCUUGGCCAAGGGAGGGCACCGUGCUGCAGCCUCUACUGUGCGUGGUAGGCAGGCAAGGCAGGUCCAGGCCGCCCAGACGGAGGGUCUUGUGCCCUCUCUGUUCCAACUUGCCUGGUGACCUUGAGUGAGUCAUUCAAAAGCUUUGAAUUCUGGUUUUCCUUCUACUCCUACCUCAGCCCAGCUCUGCCCUGCCCCCACCCAGGGACCACACCAGGAGUCAGUGCCAAUAGUUCAUCCUCAGGGCAGCCAGCGAUGCACCGCAGCCACACCCACACCCAGUGCGGGACAUCAGGUGUACCUGUGGACCCAGAAGACCAGCCCCCUGCUCCCCUGGCUGCUCCAGCACCCCACCAGCGCUGCCCUAGAUGAGAAAGCUGAGGACAGAUGUCCUUGUCACCAGUGAACAUGGUAGGGCAGGAACCACCGGGAAGGCAGGGGUCUGCAGUCCUAGAACUCGGCCCCUGUGCACUGCUCUCCCCACUCCAGGAGGCAGGAUCUGGCCUGAGCUCUUGGGGGAGCAGGUGAGCCUUGAGCAGGUGCUUCAGUCAUCCUUGUCCUUGGUGCAGGUGAGGGAAGGGACAUCAUAAAGCCAUUAAAAGUGGGGCUUAUGGGCCAGCCAGUG